GAUGAAGAACGUAGCGAAACGCGAAAGGUAAUGCGAAUUGCAGAAUCAGUGAGUCAUCGAAUCUUUGAACGCACAUUGCGCCUCUAGGUAUUCCUGGAGGCACGCCUGUUCGAGCGCCAUUACACACUCCAAGCUCUGCUUGAUGUUGGACGACCCGAGAGAUCGGACGUCUGGAACGUGUGGGCGUCGGGCGUCGGACCACGAGCGUAGCAAGACCAUCAAACAGUCAAGUCGUUCUGUGGAGCCGGCGGUCGACCGCCUCUUUUUACAACUUUAACCACAAGUUUGGACUCGGAUCAGGCGGGGAUACCCGCUGAACUUAAGCAUAUCAAUAAGCGGAGGA
rnacentral:misc_RNA from 1 species